rnacentral:misc_RNA from 1 species
AGAAAAGCACUGCAUAUACAUUGGAAGGAAAUAAAAUUGAUAUUCACAACAUUGAAGGAAGAACAGGCAAAAUGAUAAAUUUAGUACGAGAAAAUCUAACUCCAUAUUUAAGCUCAGCUGAAAUCAAUUUCAGUUGUCUUAUGAACCACAUCUCAUUCUUGUUAAUACAGACAAUCCAGGCUCAAAUAAAACAAGAGAGAUGAAAUACGUAGAUAAGCAGCCACCCAAAUUUUUGUAGGAUCUUAUGCACAUGAUCCAUAGAUACUUGAAGUCAACUGCUCUGUACAGCUU